rnacentral:lncRNA from 1 species
AAGACUCAAAAUUUGAGUUCAACUCUGUGUAGACAACAUCAAUCUUUCUAUUGAAGUUCACCGUUAACUUCUGCUGACCUUCAAGAACUUGAUUAAGCAUGGACUUUAUCUUGCUCUCUCGAGUCUGCGGUGGUUGAUUCUGAUAGUAAGAACUUCCAUAAGGGUUGUUGCUGUUGUUGUAGUUGUUGUUGUAGAGUUUCUGGUACUAUGAAUUCUGGUUGUAUCUACUCUUCUGACCAUUGCCAUAGGAGUUUCUGUAUCCACUCUGAUUUUCAGACCUCUGAUUUUGAAGGCCUGAACCACUAACAAAGGUCACAUCCUCCUCUUCGUCCAUGUCACUGUCGACAUCUACAGCCUCUACAUCCUGUGCAAAGCUAACUUGUUUCUUGAAAAGCUUGUGAACAUUAUCCAGCUUAGCUUUAA